CACGUAGGGGCCAAGCGUUUGUCCGGAUUUAUUGGGCGUAAAGAGCUCGUAGGCGGUUGGGUAAGUCGGGUGUGAAAACUCCAGGCUCAACUUGGAGACGCCACCCGAUACUGCUCUGACUUGAGUUCGGUAGGGGAGUGGGGAAGUUCCUGGUGUAGCGGUGAAAUGCGCAGAUAUCAGGAGGAACACCGGUGGCGAAGGCGCCACUCUGGGCCGAAACUGACGCUGAGGAGCGAAAGCGUGGGUAGCAAACAGG
rnacentral:rRNA from 1 species